AUGACAAGCACAAUCCCUGGUACUAAUGCUUACUCUGUUUAUUUUGGAUGUUCAAGUGUAGCAUCUAUUGACCAAUGCAAGCUCCAUCAGGAUGUGCGUAGUGUCCAUAAGUUUCUUUUUGGCCAGUACAGGGAGAAAAAUAUAUGGAAUGUACAACAAUCCUACAUGAAACAUUCUGAACAAAGUCAUAUCGAGCUACCCCUAGAAAUUUCUAUAGCUUCUAUGAACUCAGGGCCAACUUGCAUUUUCAUGUCAAGCAUGGCUGAUUAUCAGAGGGAAAGGAAAGAUGGAGUAGCAGAAUCAUUGCCUACGAUGAGUUCAUCGGGUCGAAGUGCACAUUAA
rnacentral:rRNA from 1 species